GGCAUGUUGCCAGAGUGGUUAAUGGGUGAGACUUGAAUUCGUUCCGAAUUAAGCCAUCUCAUGACUUCGGUCGCGUAGGUUCAAAUCCUGCACAUGUCG
rnacentral:tRNA from 1 species